rnacentral:rRNA from 1 species
UACGUAGGGGGCAAGCGUUGUCCGGAAUCAUUGGGCGUAAAGAGCGUGUAGGCGGCCCGGUAAGUCCGCUGUGAAAGUCCAGGGCUCAACCCUGGGAUGCCGGUGGAUACUGUCGGGCUCGAGUCCGGAAGAGGAGAGUGGAAUUCCGUGGUGUAGCGGUGAAAUGCGCAGAUAUCAGGAAGAACACCAAUGGCGAAAGCAGCUCUCUGGGACGGUACUGACGCUGAGACGCGAAAGCGUGGGAGCGAACAGG